AAGUCGUAACAAGGUUUCCGUAGGUGAGUACAAAACCAUCCCUUCUCUCUCUUAUCAUCAAAUGCUAACGUUGUUCUGAAAGGUGAACCUGCGGAAGGAUCAUUAAAGAGUUGUCCUGCACCCCUUUGGGGGAUGAGGUCUACGGGUGAGGCCCGGAGUUAAACCUCCGGGUCCCCGUCUCUUCCACCCUGUGUAUACUUUCCACGUUGCUUUGGCGGGCCUGGGUACGUCCUUCUGGGCACCCUGCCGGCGUCGGACUUCGUCCCCGCCGGCGAGCGCCCGCCAGAGACCCUUACCAUUCUGAUUUUUUUGCAAUGUCGUCUGAGCAAAACACAAAUAAAACAAAA
rnacentral:misc_RNA from 1 species